AACCUGCCUGAGCCCUGGGUCACGUUUCAGCGGCGGCAGGGGCCGAAAACGCCGCUCAUUUCUCAGCUCCAUUUACAAGAGCUGCAAGUGGAACAGCACAUAGCAGACUGACUGACGUAAGGCACAGGUGGUGGUAAGACAUAAAUCCUGGAAGCUCUCUCCACAAUGGUCAAACGCCAAGAAAUGGAGCAGUUUACUGGAACAGCAGCAGUUUCUGAUGUCUUUGCAAUGCCAGUUUCAACUAGAAAGAUUCUGUGCUGCUUUAGUGUGUGGGUCUGAGCUUCACAUGAGGGGAUGGUGAGCUCU